rnacentral:lncRNA from 1 species
CUCCUUGAAUUUUUCCCCAGAAAAUGGGCUUGUCUUCCUUUACCACAUUGCCAGGCUGCAACAAAGAUAGCUGACAGUGUAGAAGCAGAUUCCAAAUUGGGUAAUGGCCAGAGGUUCGAGAGUUUGGAGAGCUUGGAAGAAGACAGGAAGAUGAGGGAAAGUUUGGACCGUUGCAGAGACUUGUUAAAUAGUUGUGAUUAAAAGGCUGACAGAAGGAUGGACAGUGAAGGCCAGGUUUGUAAGGUCUCAGAUGAAAAUGAGGAACUUACUGGGAACAGGAGCCAAGGUUUUUUUAUUUUGCCUUAGCAAAGUAAUUGGCUACACAGUGACCCUUCCCGGGAGAUCUGUGAAACUGAACUUGAGGAUGAUGAUUUAAGGUGUAUCUGGUGGAAUGAACUUAUAAGCAGC